rnacentral:rRNA from 1 species
GACGAACGCUGGCGGCGUGCUUAACACAUGCAAGUCGAGCGACGCUCUUCCUUCGGGGCGAUGCCGGAGCGGCGAACGGGUGAGUAACACAUGGGCAACCUGCCCCUAGCUCUGGGACAACACCGGGAAACCGGUGCUAAUACCGGAUACGACAUCGGGCGGCAUCCCUCGUUGUGGAAAGAUUUUUCGGCUAGGGAUGGGCCCGCGGCCUAUCAGCUUGUUGGUGGGGUAUUGGCCCACCAAGGCGACGACGGGUAGCCGGCCUGGGAGGGCGACCGGCCACACUGGGACUGAGGCACGGCCCAGACACCUACGGGAGGCAGCAGUGGGGAAUAGUGCGCAAGGGGCGAAAGCCGUACGGAGCGACGCCGCGUGAGGGACGACGGCCUGCGGGUUGUAAACCUCUAUCAGCAGGGACGAAUUCAGACGGUACCUGCAGAAGAAGCACCGGCCAACUACGUG